rnacentral:rRNA from 1 species
CGGUUAAGUUAGAAAGGGCGCACGGUGGAUGCCUUGGCACUAGGAGCCGAUGAAGGACGGGACGAACACCGAUAUGCUUCGGGGAGCUGUAAGCAAGCUUUGAUCCGGAGAUUUCCGAAUGGGGAAACCCACCACUCGUAAUGGAGUGGUAUCCAUAUCUGAAUACAUAGGAUAUGAGAAGGCAGACCUGGGGAACUGAAACAUCUAAGUACCCGGAGGAAGAGAAAGCAAAUGCGAUUCCCUGAGUAGCGGCGAGCGAAACGGGACCAGCCCAAACCAAGAGGCUUGCCUCUUGGGGUUGUAGGACACUCUGUACGGAGUUACAAAGGAACGAGGUAGAUGAAGAGGUCUGGAAAGGCCCGCCAUAGGAGGUAACAGCCCUGUAGUCAAAACUUCGUUCUCUCCUGAGUGGAUCCUGAGUACGGCGGAACACGUGAAAUUCCGUCGGAAUCCGGGAGGACCAUCUCCCAAGGCUAAAUACUCCCUAGUGACCGAUAGUGAACCAGUACCGUGAGGGAAAGGUGAAAAGCACCCCGGAAGGGGAGUGAAAGAGAUCCUGAAACCGUGUGCCUACAAGUAGUCAGAGCCCGUUAACUGGUGAUGGCGUGCCUUUUGUAGAAUGAACCGGCGAGUUACGAUCCCGUGCAAGGUUAAGCAGAAGAUGCGGAGCCGCAGCGAAAGCGAGUCUGAAUAGGGCGAAUUGAGUACGUGGUCGUAGACCCGAAACCAGGUGAUCUACCCAUGUCCAGGGUGAAGUUCAGGUAACACUGAAUGGAGGCCCGAACCCACGCACGUUGAAAAGUGCGGGGAUGAGGUGUGGGUAGGGGUGAAAUGCCAAUCGAACCUGGAGAUAGCUGGUUCUCUCCGAAAUAGCUUUAGGGCUAGCCUCAAGGUAAGAGUCUCGGAGGUAGAGCACUGAUUGGACUAGGGGCCCCUACCGGGUUACCGAAUUCAGUCAAACUCCGAAUGCCGAUGACUUAUCCUUGGGAGUCAGACUGCGAGUGAUAAGAUCCGUAGUCGAAAGGGAAACAGCCCAGACCGCCAGCUAAGGUCCCAAAGUAUACGUUAAGUGGAAAAGGAUGUGGAGUUGCUUAGACAACCAGGAUGUUGGCUUAGAAGCAGCCACCAUUUAAAGAGUGCGUAAUAGCUCACUGGUCGAGUGACUCUGCGCCGAAAAUGUACCGGGGCUAAACGUAUCACCGAAGCUGCGGACUGUUCUUCGAACAGUGGUAGGAGAGCGUUCUAAGGGCUGUGAAGCAAGACCGGAAGGACUUGUGGAGCGCUUAGAAGUGAGAAUGCCGGUAUGAGUAGCGAAAGAGGGGUGAGAAUCCCCUCCACCGAAUGCCUAAGGUUUCCUGAGGAAGGCUCGUCCGCUCAGGGUUAGUCGGGACCUAAGCCGAGGCCGAAAGGCGUAGGCGAUGGAUAACAGGUUGAUAUUCCUGUACCACCUCCUCACCAUUUGAGCAAUGGGGGGACGCAGGAGGAUAGGGUAAGCGCGGUAUUGGAUAUCCGCGUCCAAGCAGUUAGGCUGGGAAAUAGGCAAAUCCGUUUCCCGUGAAGGCUGAGCUGUGAUGGCGAGCGAAUUAUAGUAGCGAAGUUCCUGAUUCCACACUGCCAAGAAAAGCCUCUAGCGAGGUGAGAGGUGCCCGUACCGCAAACCGACACAGGUAGGCGAGGAGAGAAUCCUAAGGUGAUCGAGAGAACUCUCGUUAAGGAACUCGGCAAAAUGACCCCGUAACUUCGGGAGAAGGGGUGCUCUGUUAGGGUGCAAGCCCGAGAGAGCCGCAGUGAAUAGGCCCAGGCGACUGUUUAGCAAAAACACAGGUCUCUGCGAAGCCGUAAGGCGAAGUAUAGGGGCUGACGCCUGCCCGGUGCUGGAAGGUUAAGAGGAGCGCUUAGCGUAAGCGAAGGUGCGAAUUGAAGCCCCAGUAAACGGCGGCCGUAACUAUAACGGUCCUAAGGUAGCGAAAUUCCUUGUCGGGUAAGUUCCGACCCGCACGAAAGGCGCAACGAUCUGGGCACUGUCUCAACGAGAGACUCGGUGAAAUUAUAGUACCUGUGAAGAUGCAGGUUACCCGCGACAGGACGGAAAGACCCCGUGGAGCUUUACUGCAGCCUGAUAUUGAAUGUUGGUACAGCUUGUACAGGAUAGGUAGGAGCCUUGGAAACCGGAGCGCCAGCUUCGGUGGAGGCAUCGGUGGGAUACUACCCUGGCUGUAUUGACCUUCUAACCCGCCGCCCUUAUCGGGCGGGGAGACAGUGUCAGGUGGGCAGUUUGACUGGGGCGGUCGCCUCCUAAAAGGUAACGGAGGCGCCCAAAGGUUCCCUCAGAAUGGUUGGAAAUCAUUCGCAGAGUGUAAAGGCACAAGGGAGCUUGACUGCGAGACCUACAAGUCGAGCAGGGACGAAAGUCGGGCUUAGUGAUCCGGUGGUUCCGCAUGGAAGGGCCAUCGCUCAACGGAUAAAAGCUACCCCGGGGAUAACAGGCUUAUCUCCCCCAAGAGUCCACAUCGACGGGGAGGUUUGGCACCUCGAUGUCGGCUCAUCGCAUCCUGGGGCUGUAGUCGGUCCCAAGGGUUGGGCUGUUCGCCCAUUAAAGCGGUACGCGAGCUGGGUUCAGAACGUCGUGAGACAGUUCGGUCCCUAUCCGUCGCGGGCGCAGGAAAUUUGAGAGGAGCUGUCCUUAGUACGAGAGGACCGGGAUGGACGCACCGCUGGUGUACCAGUUGUUCUGCCAAGGGCAUCGCUGGGUAGCUAUGUGCGGACGGGAUAAGUGCUGAAAGCAUCUAAGCAUGAAGCCCCCCUCAAGAUGAGAUUUCCCAUUCCGCAAGGAAGUAAGAUCCCUGAAAGAUGAUCAGGUUGAUAGGUCUGAGGUGGAAGUGUGGCGACACAUGGAGCUGACAGAUACUAAUCGAUCGAGGACUUAACCAAUUU